AUGAUUUAAAUGUUUAAGAGGUUUAAGGCAUUUUUACUUUUAUAUAUCUUAAAAAUGAUACUACACUACAACAGAAUUAGGUUAUAGGAACAUAUGUUUGGAACACUUUUGUGUUAGUGUCCCAUUUAUGCCAAAGCUUUUAAAAAAAUCUACUAAUACCUAAAUAUAAAGCUCAAUCCAAUAAAAAAUAAAAGGUUACUCUACCCAAUCCACCCCACCCAGCCUAUUCAGCUCGAUUAUAAACAGAAAUGAAAAAAAAAAGAAAAAUCGAUUACCAUCACCCCUUCUCCCCUCAUUCAAUCCACUGAAAUCCUAAACGAAGAGCCCUUCCCUCUCCUCUUCCUCCGCCACCGCAGCAAACGAGGUAGAGUUCCGGUAGUUGCUAAAUACUUAAAUAAGUGUUGGUAAAUUAGCAGCACUCUUUUUAGGUUAUACCGACACUCUUUAACUGUCACUAUAUACCUAGCGACUCUACAUAUAACAACACUUUUUAAAAACGUCGGUAAUUUAGCCAGCAGCACUUUUUUUGAUCUAUACUGACAUUUAAAAGUGUCACUAUACACCGUUUUUAUUGUAGUGCUAAAGUAAGAUAAAAAUGGAUGGAGGA
rnacentral:lncRNA from 1 species